rnacentral:lncRNA from 1 species
CCCCCCCAUUUUAGGCCUGCAAAUUUGGCAUAUGUAAGUUCCCAGGCCAGGGGUCCAAGUGGAACUGCAGCUGCCAGCCUACACCACAAGUCACAGCAACAUGGGAUCUGAGUCAAGACUGCGACCUACACCACAGCUCACGGCAACGCUGGAGCCGUAACCCACUGAGCGAGGCCAGGGAUAGAACCUGCGUCCUCAUGGAUACUAGUUGGGCUCAUUACCACUGCACCACAACGGGAACUCCCUUUUUUCUUUCUUUUAAAAAAUGUACCGGCUCUCAGUGCUGGGGCUACAGGGAGGUUCCCUCCAGCACGAGGACAGGGGGAGCCACAGUCUCCUUGGGGGAGUCAGGCCCCUCACCUUGCACGUGACAUAACUGAGCAUGCUCAAGCGCGCGCACAUGCACACUCACACACACGUGCGCUUACACAUAUGCACAUGCACACACACAGGUGCGCUGUGCCAUGAGGAUGCGGGAUUCCCCACAGGCCUGGGGGAAGCCCGCCCGCAGGGCCUAUUCCGCAGCCACGUCUACAAACACUGUGCAAACUGGCAGCAGGGGGUGCCUUUGGGCUGACGUGGGAACAUGAUCGAUGGCGAAGGUCAAAGGGGCCUUGGCAACAGCCCUAAAGCUGACCUUUUCCAUAAGGAGCAUCCAUCUACGUGAUCACUUGCAUGAGGAGACACCAGGCAAACACACACAGCACAUGCGGCCCCCCCGCCCGUCCCUGAAGCGCCAGCUCCGCCCCGGGCAGCAGCUCCCUCGGGGACACUCACCCAGGCCGCCUGGUCUCCAGCAGGGUCAGCAGCACCUGCGUCCCGCUGACGAGGCAGCCCUCGGUCUGGGCUCCGUCAAACAUGUUCCUCAGCAGCUGCUCCACACAGUCCUGCCUGGGGGACGCCUCGGGGUCAGGGCCUGGAGCAGCAGGCGCACAGUACCCGCCCCCCGCCCCCGCGGAGGAGCAGCACCCUGAGUCCCGGGGGGUGGGGAUCGGGGCGCAGGCCAGGCUCCCAGGGCUCUCAGACACUGCCGCUCAGGCCGGCCUGCCAGGAGACCCCCCCCCCACUGGGGGACACAGACCAGGGGUUCGUGGUGGCUCAGGUGAGCACGUCUCAGGCAGGGAGGGGGCUCAGAGCAGGGCCCCACGCAGCACUCACGACUCCAGCACCGUGAGGAGGGGGUCUGGCUCCGGAGCCUCCUGCCGCUGGCCGCCCUGCUCUCUGCCCAGCCUGACGAUGUCACAGAGCGUCUGGGACGCAUUGGACUGACUCUGCAAGGACGGAACGCAGAGCCUCCCUCAGAGACGCCGGACUCCGAGCUCCUUCGUACCAGAGAGGCCCGGCCGCCCUCCCUACAGGGUGUGGACCUGGUCAGACCCCAGAGCUCAAGCGGGGCCGCACGCAGACACUACUCCACCCCUCAAAGACGCACCACCUGCUGACUGUGUUACCCACACAGUAUUUUAAAUCAGUAGGUGGCUAUUAAGAUUCAGAAUGAGUCCUGCGAGGAGUUCCCAUUGGCUCAGUGGUUAAUGAACCCAACUAGGAUCCACGAGGACGCGGGUUUGAUCUCUCGCCUCGAUCAACAGGUCAAGGAUCCGGUGUUGCCGUGAGC